rnacentral:rRNA from 1 species
CAAUAGCGUAUAUUAAAGUUGUUGCAGUUAGAACGCUCGUAGUCGGAUUUCGGGGCGGGGCGACCGGUCUGCCGAUGGGUAUGCACUGGUCGGCGCGUCCUUCCUUCCGGAGACCGUUCCUACUCUUAACUGAGCGGGGGCGGGGGACGGAUCGUUUACUUUGAAAAAAUCAGAGUGUUUCAAGCAGGCAGCUCGCUCUUGCAUGGAUUAGCAUGGGAUAAUGAAAUAGGACUUUGGUGCUAUUUUGUUGGUUUCGAACACCGAAGUAAUGAUUAAAAGGGACAGUCAGGGGCACUCGUAUUCCGCCGAGAGAGGUGAAAUUCUCAGACCAGCGGAAGACGAACCACUGCGAAAGCAUUUGCCAGGGAUGUUUUCACUGA